GGAUCUCAUUUCUUGGAAUAAUUUGCCUACUCAUUUUCAUUUCUCUGCUAAUCAGUUACACCAGGGUAAACUGGGAUAUGUCUUGUUUUGUAUCAGAGCAGGUGGAAGUAGUUUGGCCUGAAAGUAUUUAAAAUACAAAAGCUACAAUUAAAGGGCAGAAGGCAGUGAUGAAGUAAUGCUUUGUCUUGGACACUGAUAGAGGGGAAAAAACCAUAUGGAGAGACAUUACAGAAGAUUACUACAUAGUGAAUUAUUUAUAGAGAGAAAAGGAGAUACUAGAAAGUAGUAAUUUUUCAGCCCUGUGAUGGGGUUUAUUGAGUUACAGUGUUGGGGGGGCAAUUAGGAAGGUUUUGGUGGAACAAUGUAGGUAUUAUGGGACUGGGAGUUGGGGUCUGAUUCUGCUAUUAAAAUGAGGUCUCUUCCAGUAUUUGAAGCUGUUUUUCCUUGUUCUGAGGUGCGAGAAAGCUCUGCAGAAUUUACCAAAGAAUGAAUGAAAUAACCUUGAAGUACUUGGUUUUUAAUGGAGAAGCAAACCUUCUCCAGCUUGGUUUUUAACUUGCUCUGGUUUUGUUAUUGUUAAUACAGUCCACACAUUCCUAAGGCAGUGAUCUCCUGCAUGUACGUGUUUCUGUUUUGGAAAGGGAAAAGGGGAGAGGAGGUGUGCUUUUGUUCCUUGUUUUUGUUUUGUUUGCUGUUGGGUAGCUGAAAAAUAAAUGCUUGUUGAUAGUUAUAGCAUAGUCCCUUGGGCAUUCUAAAGGUAUUAUUCUAUAUUAGUACUGCCCUUCAGCACAGCAUUUGAAUUCCCCAUCUGCUCCCACUCUCCCACACAGACAUGUGCUGCCUUUGUCUCUUCACAUCCAAACAGGAAUUAAAGAACCUGGAAGAGGAAAGGGAGCUCACUGUCUUCAAGAAGAGAUUGCUGCUCUACCACCACCACUUUUGUUAGUUUACUGAAACCCUAGAAAGCCAACAAAGCUCUGAAUUUCCAAUAUAAUGUCAAAACCUCCUUCUUGGGUUUUAUCUCCUUCCUACAAUUGAAAAGCAGCUUUUGUUUAACAUGUUUAGAUCUUUUCACACUAAGAUUAUGAAGCCUAAUUUGAGCCUGUUAAUCUUUUUCUUGGUAAUCCGUAGAAAAGCACAGCUGCGCUACUAAAAACGUACUGUUUAUCCAUGAUCACUGAGUCUGGGCAGCCUGCAGCGUUCCAAAGAUCAAAGUUUCAAACAGACAUGCCAGUCCUUCAGAAUUCCUUGGAUUUAAACACACGGUACCACAAAAUCCAUACUUGCAGCUGAGAAAUACUUGUGCUGAGCUCCAGCCUGCGUGCAUGUGAGUGUGCAGCCUUCCUCUACUGUAGCUUUAACAAAGAUUGUGUUAAAAAUGCACAGCAAGAAGCAGACUCCAGAAAAAUACUAUGUUGGAAUUGAUGUUGGUUCAGCAAGUGUUCGUGCAGCUUUGGUAGAUGGGUUUGGGACAGUGGUGGCACAUGCAGAGCAGCCAAUCCAAAUCUGGGAGCCCCAACCAGACCACUAUGAGCAAUCCACUGGAGACAUCUGGGCUGCUUGUUGCUCAGUCACAAAGAAAGUUGUCUCUGGAGUAGAUACUAGCCACAUUCGAGGGGUUGGGUUUGAUGCUACAUGUUCCCUUGUUGUUGUGGAUAAACAAUUCCAACCUUUGGCAGUCAACCGGGAAGGACAAAACUAUAGGAAUGUCAUUAUGUGGAUGGACCAUCGUGCAGUCAGUCAAGUUGAGCGCAUCAAUGCAACGCAACACAGGGUUUUGAGCUAUGUAGGGGGAGUGAUGUCUGUGGAAAUGCAGCCACCUAAAUUGCUGUGGAUAAAGGAGAACCUGAGAGAAUCAUGCUGGGAGAAGGCAGGCCACUUCUUUGAUCUUCCGGAUUUCUUAUCUUGGAAGGCCACAGGUGUCACUGCAAGGUCCCUCUGUACAGUAGUGUGCAAGUGGACAUAUACCUCUGAUAGAGGUUGGGAUGACAGUUUCUGGAAAAUGAUUGGUUUGGAAGAUUUGGUGGAGGAUAAGUAUGAAAAAAUAGGAAACCACGUCUUGUCUCCUGGAGAGUCUGUUGGAAAAGGUCUAACGCCAGAAGCUGCAAAAGAUCUCAGUCUCCCUGAAGGGAUUGCAGUAGCAGCAUCUCUCAUUGAUGCCCAUGCUGGAGGACUAGGAGUAAUUGGAGCAGAUGUGAAAGGACAUAACCUGCCAUGUGAGAACCAGCCAAUUACAUCCCGAGUUGCUAUGAUCUGUGGAACAUCUUCAUGCCACAUGGGGAUCAGUGAAGCACCCAUUUUUGUGCCUGGUGUCUGGGGCCCUUAUUUCUCUGCAAUGGUACCUGGACUGUGGUUGAAUGAGGGAGGUCAAAGUGCUACAGGAAAGCUGAUAGAUCAUGUGGUCCGAGGCCAUGUCGCCUUCCCGGAAUUACAGGCAAAAGCUGCAGCCAGCGCUCAGAGUAUAUAUACAUACUUGAACAGUCACCUGGAUCUGAUUAAGAAAUCUCUGCCUGUGGGUUUCCUCACUGUUGAUUUACAUGUUUGGCCAGAUUUCCAUGGUAACAGAUCUCCCUUAACAGAUCUGACACUAAAGGGCAUGGUUGUUGGACUAACAUUGUCUCAGGGUCUGGAUGAACUUGCCCUUAUCUACUUGGCCACGAUUCAAGCCAUUGCUUUAGGAACAAGACAUAUUUUGGAAACUAUGCAGGCUGCAGGGCAUCAUAUCAACACACUGUUCCUGUGUGGUGGGCUGAGCAAGAACCCUCUCUUUGUGCAGAUGCACGCUGACAUUACUGGCAAGCCUGUUGUCCUCUCCAAAGAAGUGGAGUCUGUUUUGGUGGGUGCUGCUAUUCUUGGAGCCUGUGCUUCUGGGGAUUUUGCAUCUAUACAGGAGGCCAUGGCGAAAAUGGGGAAAGUUGGGAGAGUUGUGCAGCCCAACCAUGAGCAUAAAAGAUUUUAUGACAAGAAGUACGAAGUAUUUUUGAAGCUGGUGGAACAUCAGAGAGAGUAUCGCUCCAUCAUGAACAGCUUCUGACCUGGAGUCACAGAAUCUGGGAACAGCAGGCAGAGUGAAUCUCCAGCUACUCGUGAUGAGGGUAAUGUCUUCUCACUGUACCGUCCAUGCCAAAAAACCACUUUUAUCAUUUAAAGUGUAUAUUUUAACUUUGAAUGAGAAAUAAAAUGCACUCACUGGCUGUGAAGCACUGGGUGUUUUCUGUCGAUAAUCCCUGCACCUCGGGACAAGGAAUGACCAUUUGCCCCAGUCAGAGGAGACCAGACAACCAGCUGCGGGUGCCCCAGUGCUGUAUUCAGACUGGCGAUAAGCAGGAACAGUGCAAGGAACACUCUAACUGAUUUGGAUGGACUUGAAUCGCUGCCCUUUGCCAUGUUUUUCAGAGGUAACUACACCUGGCACCACACAUGGUCCUUUAAGAUCACUGUCUGCUCCAGCUAAGACCCAAACAUGAAUUCCAAUGGAAAAUUCUGUUUGUUUUUCUAAUUCUUACUCUGAUUAUAGUACUUCUUUGGUGGCUGAUAUUUGAGAAUCACUUUUGCAGCUGUGCAAUCUUUUUCUCUCUGUUUUCUUCAGUUUCCUGCUCUCUUUUUUCCUGUCUCCGUUCUUGCAGCACAGUCAUUCUGCUGUCAGUACUUGGUGUCAUUUUGUCCCUCGCCCUCCGUGCGCAGUGAUUGCUGUGCCAAUGUCAAAUGGCCCAUUGCUGACACUGAAAGACUAGGCUGAGCAGACACAGUUGCUGAAAAUAUGUUCCUAAUGCAGGUGCAUUCCUGCCAUCGUGCCAGCUGCCUCGCAGGAGUCAGCCCUGAAACAUCCCAGCUCCCCCUGUCAGUCCUCAGCACACUGCUCCAGCCAGACCCAGCUCAGAGCAUCUACUCAGUCACCAGCUCUGAGCUGGACACAACAGCAGGUGGUUUUGAAGGUUGUCCUGGAUAGUUAACUGGGCUGUGGAAGAAGAGUCUGGACACUCUGGUUGUAUACAGCAGAAAUGUUUCAUCUCUGACAGUACAAAUUGCUUUGAUCUUGCAAGAGCCAAAUGCUGCCAGUGCCAUCAGUGAAAUGCUCUUAGAAAUUCUUUCUUUCUCUGCCAUUUGUCUGUUACUUCUUAAUAAGAGAUCCUAUUCUGUUUGAAAAGCAAAGCCAGGAUCCCCAGCUGAAGGAGAGAGUUAAGAAGCAAGGGGGGACAGAGCAGAAGAGCAUAUUCAGAUCAACUACAACUAUGCAACAGGUCACUCAGGAGAAUCCUUCUUUUCUUCAAACUGCCACCCUCUUGGUGUACCUGCAUUGUGCAAGAGAAACAACCUCUGGUCCCUUUCCACGGAGUCAGUGUUCCUGUAGAUGGGCUCCAGCUUUAUACACUCAGCUUGAUAGAAAUUCCAUUCUGUAGUAUUGGCAUAGGCUGUAAUUCCCAGUUAAAUGCAAACAGAAGUUACACAAUAACAAAACUACACUUGGAGAACUUGGAAAAUAAUAGUUACUGGGUUGAUUUUUUUUAUGUUAGUAGUCAGCACUCAAAAACAUCUGGUAAUUUUUUUAAAGGAACAAUGCACUUCCUGCCUUGUAGUUCAUGGAAAAGCAAUUGUUGCCAUUUCCAAAGUACCCAUUGUUAAGAGAAACAGCUUUACAAGUUCAGGGACAUAAUUAAAGACAAUGAAAGUUGAUGGGAAUAAAAUGAAGAAACAGCAUAACAAGAAGGGUAUAACAAGCAAGAAAACGACUACAGCAUAAUGGUGUAUCAUAGCUUACAAGUCAAAGGCACAAUAAAACAUGUCAGCUGAAAAUACAUAGAAGGAAAAAGCAGUUGGAGACCAAUGUAUUGUGAACAAUAAAUAUUCAUAAAUUUUAAUGCAUUUAUUUUAAUAUACAAUUCAUAUGUAAAACGAAGUCCACUGACUCCAAACACAUAGCAAAUGUACAGAUUACAGGGACAGAUGUAUAGGGGGGUCUGGCACUGCACCAGCCUUUUUAACUCUUUGCAGCUCAACACACACAGACAUGCACACACACCCCCCCCCAACUUCAGCUACCUUUCCGUAACCUUCCUGCUAUUUUUAUCAUAGAAUCAUCAACAAACCAGCCUUGACCUCUCUGGCUGAACUGGCACAAGACUUACACUCCUUCAAUCACAAGGAGUGUAUGAAGUCUAGAAAGGAAACAAGCUGUCAUGCUGACUUUGUUGAAGCUCAAAGGCACAGAGUUCAAAAGGAAGCGAUGUACCUUGCAUAAGCUUAUAUGAAAGAGGGAUUUGUUCA